rnacentral:rRNA from 1 species
UACAGAGGUCUCAAGCGUUGUUCGGAUUCAUUGGGCGUAAAGGGUGCGUAGGUGGCGCGCUAAGUCAGGUGUGAAAUUUCGGAGCUUAACUCCGAAACUGCAUUUGAUACUGGCGUGCUUGAGGACUGGAGAGGAGACUGGAAUUCACGGUGUAGCAGUGAAAUGCGUAGAGAUCGUGAGGAAGACCAGUGGCGAAGGCGGGUCUCUGGACGGAUACUGACGCUGAUACGCGAAAGCGUGGGGAGCAAACAGG